UCUUAUCGAGAGCGGCGGAGGGACAGGCCCGAUGAAGCCCGGCAACCGAUUUGUAAUGACAUGAUACAUGUAUCAUUCGUUAUAGAUGUUAGGUGCUAAUUCCUACAAAAUGGUGCAAGACACGAUUUUGGCAGAUGAG
rnacentral:ncRNA from 1 species